AUGGCAAUUGGAGUGCUAAAGCUCAAAGCACUUAAUCUAAGUGGAAAUCAGAUAUCGGGUACUAUACCUGCAGCAUUUGGGUUUAUAUCAGAGCUAACCAUCCUUGACCUCUCCUCGAAUGCGCUAUCUAGCGAGAUCCCAAAAGAUAUCAAUAAGUUGAAUUUGAACUUUUUAAACCUCUCCAUGAAUCACCUCACAGGGGAAAUUCGAACAUCAUUGCAAAACGAAGCAUAUGAGCAAAGCUUCCUCUUCAAUCCAGGCCUUUGUGUCUCAUUGAAUAAUUCCAUCCCGAAUUUUCCGAUUUGCGGGGCAAUAGCAAACACCAACAAUGAUAUCUCCAGGAGGCUUAUAGCCCUCUUUUUUGUUCUUGCAAGUAUCAUGCUUGUGGGUUUGGCAGUUGGUGGUUUCUUGCUAUUAAAGAGGAAAAAGAAUAGCCAAGAUCCUCUAUCAUGGAAGCUAACCCAGUUCCAUGCACUGCAUUUCACAGAGUAUGAUGUUCUGGGCUCUGCUCACUGGAUUGGAAGUGGCAGGUCUGGCAAGGUGUGCCGAAUUUGUGUUGUGGAUGAAGAAGGUGGUAGUAGAAUGGUGGCUGUUAAAAAGAUAUGGAACGCGCAGAACCUUGACAACAAGCUUGAGAAGGACUUCCUUGCAGAGGUCCAGAUAUUGGGUGAGAUCCAGCACACAAACAUUGCCAAGUUGCUUUGCUGCAUCUCAAGCUCAGAGGCUAAGCUUCUUGUCUACAAGUACAUGGAAAACGGUAGCUUAGACAGGUGGCUGCAUCAGAGAGAGAGAGAGAGAGUUGGUUCACUGGUGCCUUUGGAUUGGCCCACCAGAUUGCAAAUUGACAUUGACUCAGCAAGAGGUCUUUGCUAUAUGCACCAUGAUAGUUCACCCGCAAUAGUGCACUGUGAUGUCAAGUCUGCUAAUAUCCUUCUUGACCCCGAGUUCAGAGCAAAGAUAGCCGACUUCGGGCUUGCUCGGAUUCUUCUCAAAACCAGAGACCCUGGGUCAAUUUCUGCCAUAGGUGGUACCUUUGGCUACAUGGCACCAGAGUACGGAUACCGGCUUAAGGUGAAUGAGAAGGUCAACGUCUACAGCUUCGGAGUGGUCCUGUUGGAGCUCACAACAGGGAGAGUGGCAAAUGAUGGAGGCUUGGAGUAUUGCUUGGCAGAAUGGGCAUGGAGACAGUAUCAAGAAUAUGGCCUGUCAAUUGAUCUUCUUGAUGAAGACAUUCGAGAUCCAGCCAACAUUGAAGAUGCAUUUGCAGUGUCUGCGCUAGGUGUGAUCUGUACAGGUGGGCAGUCUUCAGUACGGCCAUCAAUGAAGGAUGUGUUGUACGCUCUUCUCCGAUUUCAACAUAAAUCAAGGGAAAGAAGCCUGCAGCAUGCUGUCUCCGAAGAAACAUCACUUCUAGAAUCCUAG
rnacentral:rRNA from 1 species